AGUGAACGCUGGCGGUAGGCCUAACACAUGCAAGUCGAGCGGCAGCACAGUAAGAGCUUGCUCUUACGGGUGGCGAGUGGCGGACGGGUGAGGAAUACAUCGGAAUCUACUUUUUCGUGGGGGAUAACGUAGGGAAACUUACGCUAAUACCGCAUACGACCUACGGGUGAAAGCAGGGGAUCUUCGGACCUUGCGCGAUUGAAUGAGCCGAUGUCGGAUUAGCUAGUUGGCGGGGUAAAGGCCCACCAAGGCGACGAUCCGUAGCUGAUCUGAGAGGAUGAUCAGCCACACUGGAACUGAGACACGGUCCAGACUCCUACGGGAGGCAGCAGUGGGGAAUAUUGGACAAUGGGCGCAAGCCUGAUCCAGCCAUACCGCGUGGGUGAAGAAGGCCUUCGGGUUGUAAAGCCCUUUUGUUGGGAAAGAAAAGCAGCAGGUUAAUACCCCGCUGUUCUGACGGUACCCAAAGAAUAAGCACCGGCUAACUUCGUG
rnacentral:rRNA from 1 species